rnacentral:rRNA from 1 species
GCACAACGCGAAGAACCUUACCAGGUCUUGACAUCCAACUAACGAAGCAGAGAUGCAUCAGGUGCCCUUCGGGGAAAGUUGAGACAGGUGGUGCAUGGUUGUCGUCAGCUCGUGUCGUGAGAUGUUGGGUUAAGUCCCGCAACGAGCGCAACCCUUAUCAUUAGUUGCUACGCAAGAGCACUCUAGUGAGACUGCCGUUGACAAAACGGAGGAAGGUGGAGAUGACGUCAAAUCAUCAUGCCCCUUAUGACCUGGGCUACACACGUACUACAAUGGCGAUUAACAGAGGGAAGCAAGACAGUGAUGUGGAGCAAAACCCCAAAAUACGUCUCAGUUCGGAUCGUAGGCUGCAACUCGCCUACGUGAAGUCGGAAUUGCUAGUAAUCGCAGAUCAGCAUGCUGCGG